CUCCGGUUGAUCUUGCCGGACCCGACUGCUAUCAGAGUGGGACUAAGCCAUGCGAGUCAACAUAGCAAUAUGUGGCAUACGGCUCAGUAACACGUAGUCAACAUGCCCAGGGGACGUGGAUAACCUCGGGAAACUGAGGAUAAACCGCGAUAGGUCAUCACUUCUGGAAUGGGUAAUGACUUAAAUCUAUAUGGCCCCUGGAUUGGACUGCGGCCGAUCAGGCUGUUGGUGAGGUAAUGGCCCACCAAACCUGUAACCGGUACGGGCUCUGAGAGGAGGAGCCCGGAGAUGGGCACUGAGACAAGGGCCCAGGCCCUAUGGGGCGCAGCAGGCGCGAAACCUCUGCAAUAGGCGAAAGCUUGACAGGGUUACUCUGAGUGAUUUCCGUUAAGGAGAUCUUUUGGCACCUCUAAAAAUGGUGCAGAAUAAGGGGUGGGCAAGUCUGGUGUCAGCCGCCGCGGUAAUACCAGCACCCCGAGUGGUCGGGACGUUUAUUGGGCCUAAAGCAUCCGUAGCCGGUUCUACAAGUCUUCCGUUAAAUCCACCUGCUUAACAGAUGGGCUGCGGAAGAUACUAUAGAGCUAGGAGGCGGGAGAGGCAAGCGGUACUCGAUGGGUAGGGGUAAAAUCCGUUGAUCCAUUGAAGACCACCAGUGGCGAAGGCGGCUUGCCAGAACGCGCUCGACGGUGAGGGAUGAAAGCUGGGGGAGCAAACCGGAUUAGAUACCCGGGUAGUCCCAGCUGUAAACGAUGCAGACUCGGUGAUGAGUUGGCUUAUUGCUAACUCAGUGCCGCAGGGAAGCCGUUAAGUUUGCCGCCUGGGGAGUACGGUCGCAAGACUGAAACUUAAAGGAAUUGGCGGGGGAGCA
rnacentral:rRNA from 1 species